CACUUCGGGAGCCUCCCCUCCGCCCGCUCAGAGACAGCAGCCUCAGGGAACGCCGCACUUCCGCCUCCCUAGCCGUCGGCCCGGAAGAGGUCGCUACUGACCCAGAAGGAGAACCUGCAGCGCCCGGUCCUUCUCUGACUUGGGCUUUAAGAAUGCACCAUUUCCUGGAAUUCUAGAAAGGAAGAGGAGAGAACAGACUCAGUGUUUGGCAGGGAAACAAAUUCUCGGAGAAGCACGGUCCAAUUCAGGACAAGCCUGGAAGACACCGUGAGCACCGGGCAUUUGCCUGCAUGUGUAACGGUGCCCCGGAAGAGAGCAUUGAAUUCCCAGGAACUGAAGUUAUAGACAGUCAAGAACCACUAUGUGGGUACUGGGAACAGAACCCAGUUCCUCUACAAAAGAAACCAGUGCUCUUAUCCACUAAGCCAUCUCUCCAGGUCUCCUUUUGGAUUUUUGCCUGUAAUCUUAGCACAGGGGCUGGUACCACCAAACCCUGCUAAAGGUGUGGCCCAGGCUGGCCUCUUCAACAUCUGACUACCACUGUGUGCUGCCGGGGUCAGCAAAUUUCCUGACAGAAAAUGAAGAUAAUGACUGGACACUGUGGUGCACACCUGUGAUCCUAAAUGAGUGUGCAUUGUCUGACACGGAUACAGCCAUGGCAAGGACCAGUGCCUCGGUGCCUCAUCCCAUGGGAGUGGCAGAGCCUUCCCCGGGAGACUCAGGGAUGGCAGAGCCUUCCCCAGGUGAGGCUCAGGGAUGGCAGAGCCUUCCCCAGGUGAGGCGAGGGAUGGCAGAGCCUUCCUCAGGAGACUCAGAGAUGGCAGAGCCUUCCCUGGGUGAGGCGAGGGAUGGCAGAGCCUUCCCCAGGUGAGGCUCAGGGACGGCAGAGUCUUUCCCCAGUGAAGCUAGGGAUGACAGAGCCUUCCUCUGCUCUGAGUGCAAAUGUUGACAGUGUGUGCAGACGAUGCCCGACAGACCUUUCUCCUCUGGAAAAUGCCCCACAGUGCUUUCUCCCCUGGGAUAUUUAUAGACUAGAGACUGCUCCCCUACAGAGAUGGUCCCUACCCGAUGAGCCUUUGUUCAGCUGUAAACAAUAACUCUGCCUCUCUGUUUAUCUGUAUGUAAUAACCCCACCUCCCUGUUUCUCUGUAUGUAAUAACCCCGCCUCCCUGUUUAUCUGUAUGUAAUAACCCGCCUCCCUGUUUAUCUCUAUGUAAUAACCCCUCCCUAUUCAACAGUUUAUAAUAAACAUACUAACUACUGGUGUGCGGAGGCUUCUCCAUCCAAAAGCCUGGACCAUGCAAUCCCAGCUCUUCUGUGUCCAUGU